UACGAAGGGGCUAGCGUUGCUCGGAAUCACUGGGCGUAAAGCGCACGUAGGCGGAUUGUUAAGUCAGGGUGAAUCCUGGAGCUCAACUCCAGAACUGCCUUGAUACUGGCGAUCUCGAGUCCGGGAGAGGUGAGUGGAACUGCGAGUGUAGAGGUGAAAUUCGUAGAUAUUCGCAAGAACACCAGUGGCGAAGGCGGCUCACUGGCCGGUACUGACGCUGAGGUGCGAAGCGUGGGAGCAACAGG
rnacentral:rRNA from 1 species